GCCGAGGCGACGUCCGUUCCCGGGGGCCACCGGGGCGGCGGCGGCGGCGGCGGCGGGGGCCAUGGACGAUAGCCACUUUCUUUACUCUGUAUGUGCGUGGCAGCCGGCGCGCGCUCUCCCCCUCCUCUCGUAGGCGGUGGGAGGAAGGGGGCCGUGAAAGGAAAAGAAUCCGGCCAAGGGGGGAUGCGUGGAGGCCUCACGCACGGCGGGAAGCGGACAAGAAUGGGGCGCGGGGAGGAUAUCAGGCGGUGGUUGCUUGGCGGCAAGAAACGCCGGAGGAAGAAGACGCGUGUGGCUGCUGAUUUCCGGUCAGCUGCGAGGACCAGGAUGUGGGAGAAGAGAUAUCAUUUUUCAUCUCAUUUUCUGUCCAUAUCUGGGUGGAUGAUGGUCGCGUGUUUGCAUCAUUUUUUUCCAAAGAAA
rnacentral:lncRNA from 1 species